CUGGGUGCGGGGACCCACACUAUCUAUGCGAGGUGGAAACUUGGGUAGUUUGCCAAAAAAUUCUUUCUGUUGCCCUCAAGCAGCUUACAGCCUAGUCAGGAGGCAGACAGUAAACAGAUGGUUGCAGUAUAUUAAGUGAAGAGGUACAGAGCCCUGACUGUCUCACAGGGGACCGAUCUAGGCUAGGAGGUGGAGAUGACAUUUGAGCUAGGGUCUGAAGGAAAGGGCAAGAGUAAAUCAAGAAGAGGAGUUUAAGGAGAGAGAUGAGAAAUGUGGGCAUCUUUUUGUCAGAGGGGGCAUUUAUCAUUUGACUUUUUCUUAGAACAGGUGAUACUCAAAAGAUUGAAUUACCAAAGUGGUACCUUUAGAAGCUGCAGAUUUUGUAAGUGGCCACAGGAGGGCGCCUGUGGAAAAGCCCCUGCCGGCCGCAAGCACCUUCACCAUGAGCUCUUUGUAGUGCGUGGGACCCUGGCUGGUGACUGAGACAAUUGAGGAAGAUGGAACCUCCUGCAACGGAGGAGGAUGGAAGUAGGGAGAGGCCUGAUCUUCAAGUCAAGAUAAACUGGAGACCUGUAGGCCGGGAGCCUAGCUCUGUGCUGCUGGAAUUGGAGCUGGGCAGUCCGGGUUUAAGAACUGGCUCUCCCGCCCCUCACUAUGUGGUCGUGAGUAAACCAUUUACCCCUCAGUGCCAGUUUCUCAUUGGAGCCCUUCCCUGGGGAGUUUGUUGUGGGAAUUAAGUGAGAUGAUAGAUGCGUGCUCAUUGCAGCACCAGAGCAG
rnacentral:lncRNA from 1 species